rnacentral:rRNA from 1 species
CCUACGGGGGGCUGCAGUGGGGAAUAUUGGACAAUGGGGGCAACCCUGAUCCAGCCAUGCCGCGUGUGUGAAGAAGGCCCUCGGGUUGUAAAGCACUUUCAGUGAGGAAGAACGCCUGGUGGUUAAUAUCCAUCAGGAAAGACAUCACUCACAGAAGAAGCACCGGCUAACUCCGUGCCAGCAGCCGCGGUAAUACGGAGGGUGCGAGCGUUAAUCGGAAUUACUGGGCGUAAAGCGCGCGUAGGUGGCUUGAUAAGCCGGUUGUGAAAGCCCCGGGCUCAACCUGGGAACGGCAUCCGGAACUGUCAAGCUAGAGUGCAGGAGAGGAAGGUAGAAUUCCCGGUGUAGCGGUGAAAUGCGUAGAGAUCGGGAGGAAUACCAGUGGCGAAGGCGGCCUUCUGGACUGACACUGACACUGAGGUGCGAAAGCGUGGGUAGCAAACAGGAUUAGAUACCCUGGUAGUC